ACGUCCUACGGGAGAAAGCAGGGGAUCUUCGGACCUUGCGCUAAUAGAUGAGCCUAGGUCGGAUUAGCUAGUUGGUGGGGUAAAGGCCUACCAAGGCGACGAUGUGUAGCGGGUCUGAAAGGAUGAUCCGCCACACUGGGACUGAAACACGGCCCAAACUCCUACGGGAGGCAGCAGUGGGGAAUAUUGGACCAAUGGGGGGAACCCUGAUCCAGCCAUGCCGCGUGUGUGAAGAAGGCCUUUUGGUUGUAAAGCACUUUAAGCGAGGAGGAGGCUUACCUGGUUAAUACCUGGGAUAAGUGGACGUUACUCGCAGAAUAAGCACCGGCUAACUCUGUGCCAGCAGCCGCGGUAAUACAGAGGGUGCAAGCGUUAAUCGGAUUUACUGGGCGUAAAGCGCGCGUAGGUGGCUAAUUAAGUCAAAUGUGAAAUCCCCGAGCUUAACUUGGGAAUUGCAUUCGAUACUGGUUAGCUAGAGUAUGGGAGAGGAUGGUAGAAUUCCAGGUGUAGCGGUGAAAUGCGUAGAGAUCUGGAGGAAUACCGAUGGCGAAGGCAGCCAUCUGGCCUAAUACUGACACUGAGGUGCGAAAGCAUGGGGAGCAAACAGGAUUAGAUACCCUGGUAGUCCAUGCCGUAAACGAUGUCUACUAGCCGUUGGGGCCCCUUGAGGCUUUAGUGGCGCAGCUAACGCGAUAAGUAGACCGCCUGGGGGAGUACGGUCGCAAGACUAAAACUCAAAUGAAUUGACGGGGGCCCGCACAAGCGGUGGAGCAUGUGGUUUAAUUCGAUGCAACGCGAAGAACCUUACCUGGCCUUGACAUACAGAGAACUUUCCAGAGAUGGAUUGGUGCCUUCGGGAACUCUGAUACAGGUGCUGCAUGGCUGUCGUCAGCUCGUGUCGUGAGAUGUUGGGUUAAGUCCCGCAACGAGCGCAACCCUUUUCCUUAUUUGCCAGCACUUCGGGUGGGAACUUUAAGGAUACUGCCAGUGACAAACUGGAGGAAGGCGGGGACGACGUCAAGUCAUCAUGGCCCUUACGGCCAGGGCUACACACGUGCUACAAUGGUCGGUACAAAGGGUUGCUACUGCGCGAGCAGAUGCUAAUCUCAAAAAGCCGAUCGUAGUCCGGAUCGCAGUCUGCAACUCGACUGCGUGAAGUCGGAAUCGCUAGUAAUCGCGGAUCAGAAUGCCGCGGUGAAUACGUUCCCGGGCCUUGUACACACCGCCCGUCACACCAUGGGAGUUUGUUGCCCC
rnacentral:rRNA from 1 species